CGCAAAGCAUAUCCGUUGUUUUGCCACAGUUGUCACAGACAUGAAGUUCUGUGAAUCGGAGUAGUGUACUGACAGACUAAUGCACUGAUAGAUGGGACAGAAAGGCAAGAUAAUGUCUUUUGCAGGCUCAGGAGUCAAAGGGCACAUUUGAAUCCUGGCGCACCUCUCUCUAUCCAUGUGAUGUCCUGCAAUUUAAGGUCUGUAUACCCUAGUUUCCUCUUCUGUAUUAAAAAAAAAAAAAAAAAGGAGGCUAUAAUAUUAAUAAUAACCUUAAUAGCCAUAAAGAAAGCUGAGCGCCAGAGAAUUGAUGCUUUUGAACUGUGUUGUUGGCGAGUACUCUUGAGAGUCCCUUGAACUGCAAGGAGAUCCAGCCAGUCCAUCCUAAAGGAAAUCAGUCCUGAAUAUUCAUUGGAAGGAAUGAUGUCGAAGCUGAAGCUCCAAUACUUUGGACAUCCCACGCGAAGAACUGACUCAUUGGAAAAGACCCUGAUGCUGGGAAAGAUUGAGCACAGGAGGAGAAGUAGACGACAGAGGAUGAGAUGGUUGGAUGCCAUCAACGACUCGAUGGACAUGAGUUUGAGCAAACUCCUGGAUGUUGGUGAUGGACAGAGAAGCCUGAUGUGCUGCCGUGCAUGGGGUAGCAAAGAGUCGGACACGGCUGAGUGACGGAACAGAGAGUACAUCAUGAGAAACGCUGGGCUGGAAGAAGCACAAGCUGGAAUCAAGAUUGCUGGGAGAAAUAUUAAUAACCUCAGAUGUACAGAUGACACCACCCUUAUGGCAGAAAGUGAAGAGGAACUAAAGAGCCUCUUGAUGAAAGUGAAAGAGGAGAGUGAAAAAGUUGGCUUAAAGCUCAACAUUCAGAAAACGAAGAUCAUGGCAUCCGGUCCCAUCACUUCAUGGGAAAUAGAUGGGGAAACAGUG
ensembl:lncRNA